GAGUUUGAUCCUGGCUCAGGAUGAACGCUGGCGGCGUGCUUAACACAUGCAAGUCGAACGGGAAACAUUUUAUUGAAGCUUCGGCAGAUUUAGCUUGUUUCUAGUGGCGGACGGGUGAGUAACGCGUGGGUAACCUGCCUUAUACUGGGGGAUAACAGCCAGAAAUGACUGCUAAUACCGCAUAAGCGCACAGAACCGCAUGGUUCGGUGUGAAAAACUCCGGUGGUAUAAGAUGGACCCGCGUUGGAUUAGCUAGUUGGCAGGGCAGCGGCCUACCAAGGCGACGAUCCAUAGCCGGCCUGAGAGGGUGAACGGCCACAUUGGGACUGAGACACGGCCCAGACUCCUACGGGAGGCAGCAGUGGGGAAUAUUGCACAAUGGGGGAAACCCUGAUGCAGCGACGCCGCGUGAAGGAAGAAGUAUCUCGGUAUGUAAACUUCUAUCAGCAGGGAAGAUAAUGACGGUACCUGACUAAGAAGCCCCGGCUAACUACGUGCCAGCCGCCGCGGUAAUAC
rnacentral:rRNA from 1 species